rnacentral:rRNA from 1 species
UACGAGGGGGGCAAGCGUUGUUCGGAUUUAUUGGGCGUAAAGGGUGCGUAGGCGGUUUGGCAAGUCUUGUGUGAAAUCUUUUGGGCUCAACCCAAAGUCUGCAUAAGAAACUGCCGGGCUUGAGUCCGGGAGAGGUGAGUGGAACUGCGAGUGUAGAGGUGAAAUUCGUAGAUAUUCGCAAGAACACCAGUGGCGAAGGCGGCUCACUGGCCCGGUACUGACGCUGAGGUGCGAAAGCGUGGGGAGCAAACAGG